AAUGCAAAGCCUACCAAAAAAUUAUAACAACCUUUAUCAAACAAGGAGGAAGACGAGGAUGAGCAAUCACAAAGUGAACUAGAAAAGCAACAACCAAAGAAGAAGUGGAAAAGACUAGCAAGGGGUCAAAAUAGCGGUGCGACAGGAAUAGUCAUUCAUGAGAUAACAAGAGAUAGCAAUGCUAGUGUGGGUUUGGAGGAGACUGGAAAAAGAGGAAGGGAAAAGAAUGGUGAUGCCCUAGGUAAUAAGAAGACUUGCAACUCUGAUCAAACUUCUGAAUUGGUGGUGGUAGCCAGCCAAAAAUGGUCCAAAUAGAAAAAUGAGACUCAUUAGCCGGAACUGUCAGGGUGUGGGAACCCCUAACUUUCCACUAUUUAAAAGGUAUGUGUAAAUCACAUUCCUUAGAUAUAGUUUUCCUUAUGGAGACUAAAAAUAAGUCUACAGCUAUUAGGGAAAAGAUGAAUGGGUGUGGGUUUUUUGAUAUGCAAUGUAUUGGGCCUAAGGGCCUGGUGGGGGGACUAUGUGU
rnacentral:misc_RNA from 1 species